GGCAUGUUCCACUCCCGGCGCACAUGCCGCUUAGUUGCCGGCAGCAGCUCCGCACUUUGCAUCACCGCAGUAAGGAUAUUCCACGUUCAGAGUCGAGCAGCAAACCCCGGACAAUCGCUCCGCAUGUUCGCAGGAGCUGCAGAAGAUCUGCACCCUGAGAGGACUGACAGCCUGGGAGGCCACGCCAAAAGCAAAGCGCACGACUGUGACACCACGGAACACCUUGACCGCCACCGUGUCCACGACCGUCUCCGCAGGUGACGCCAGGCCACUAAACGCUAACUGCCGGGUACCUCCCUACUCCUUCCAGUCCGUAUUCUCCUCGAUGGACUCAUCUGGACAGUAAUCCCACAUCACUUACCUUCCGUGCUUCCAAAAUGUCAACAUUCACUGUACAUCACAGCUUCAGAACUGCAAAUUUCAGGCGCUCCUGUCAGCACACGUCUGUCUGUCCGCGGUGCGGCGCGAGUCGGCAAACUCCCGGCACUCCGACUCCGCGAGCUCGGCAUUCUGAGGACAGCUGGUACCGUAAGUGGUUAGAGCUACCGUCUUUGGAUCCAAAGGUUGUGAGUUUAAUCCCCACCUCCAGCUGUAGUACCCUUGAGCAAGGUACUCACCCUAAAAUUACCCAGCUGUAUAAAUGGGUAAAUAAUUACAACCUUAAUACUGUAAGUUGCAUUAGAGGAAAGGCAUCAGCUGAAUGUAAUGUGAGACGAGGGCUUGGAGGAAUUCACCUGAAUGUGUUCAAUGCCUGCACAAUACAUGAUAAGGAGGUGACUGUGAACUGUUGCACAAAGUUUGAUGGUGCACUUUCCCUCCAUGCGCAGCGACGGUGUAAACCCAUUCAACGGUGCAGACGCGUGCUUGCCGGGAGACAAGUGAAAUGGGAGCAGUGAAGGAAGCCAAGCAUGCGUUUGGGUCACGCACACCUGCCCAGCGGACUGGGAUUUGAGCAAACGCAGCCUGCUGGCGGCCUUUGGGAAGAUUCCCUUCAGCCGCUGUGCGACGGAGCAGAUCCCAGCAGCAUGCCUGGUGUCAGGAUGCUGACAGGUGCCUCUGUGAGUGAAACGAUACUCUUUACUCACAAACACGGUGACUGUGGUUUUAGCCUUCAAUACAGUUUGACUCAUUGUUAGAUGACGCUACGAGAGUUUGUAACUACAGCAUUUAAGAUCUCCAUGGCAACAGGCGCAUGCGAAGGUUAUGAAUCAGCCGUGUAACAUUCCUCCACCGCUCCUCCGGCCCGAGGCCCCCGCCCUCCAACCACAGACACGUCCGACACACAGACACACCUGUCGCCGCUACUGACUCAGAACGUUUAUGCUGGGGUUACAGCGCAGAAACCCCGAGUCGCCAGGAGCACCAUGAUCCCAUGACACCAAGCGCUGAGUCCAGAGGUAUGCUGAGAAUGCUGAGAUUACACGACAUAAGAACAUUUCUUUGACUUAGUCUGAAAUAACUUCUAAUAAUCCUCGCCAGGUUUGGGAAAAGGCCUGCAAUAGCGCCUUCUUGCAGUGCAGUUGUAAAUAUUGUCCCUGCCUUUGUUUCCACUACAUAUUGAAAGAUAUUAUGACAACAUGGUGCCCUUGUAAAAAUGUACAGAUAAUCUGAACUUUAUCGACUCUGAGGCUGUAGGGGGUUUUCAAUUAUUAAGUAACUGCCGUGGCAACAGUUGUUGAUGCUGCUUGGUGGAAGGCUCCUCCGGCUAUACGGGCUUUUUUUUAUAAGGGUGUGAUGGAGUUCAGUUGAGCUGCUACAAUUGCCCGUUUUUAAAGGACAGCAGACAGAGAGAGAGAGCGUUUCCCCCGAGCCUCCACUCACCCCUGGUGUUAAUUUGCCCCCACGCUGUGCUUUAUACUGCAGCCACAGAUAACGUGUCACAGCCGCGGAGCUCCA
rnacentral:lncRNA from 1 species